CUGUUGCGGGCAAAUCCAGUGAAUGUGCGCAUCAAUACCGCCUGCGGUAAUGAUGUUGCCUUCACCGGCGAUAAUUUCGGUGCCCGGACCAAUGAUGAUAUCAACACCGGGCUGAAUAUCGGGGUUUCCGGCCUUACCAACGGCGGCAAUACGGCCAUCACGGAUGCCGAUAUCGGCCUUGAUGAUGCCGGUAUAAUCAAGGAUCAGCGCAUUGGUGAUCACGGUAUCAACCGCACCAUCCGCACGGGUGACCUGUGAUUGGCCCAUACCGUCAC
rnacentral:sRNA from 1 species